CAUCAACCCAACAAACCACGCAUUGGACGUGGUCCCCAGGCCAUCACAUGCCCUUCCCUCCCCUCCUGAAGCUCUCACGCCCCUCUUGCCACCAACUUCUUUGUCCCCACGCCCCUACCUGCCCCCACCUUCUUACCCAUGAAACAAAGGGGUUCCCAGGUCUGGAUCUCCAUUGCCAGAGCUGCCAUGGCAGACGAAUCGAAGUUAAAUAACAGUGGAUCUCGAACAACUUGGUGCAAGAAAAGAAGAGAGAGGGAUGAUAGAUCAGAACGUACCAGGCAGCAAGCACCAGCAAGGGUGAAAAACGAGGUGAUCCUUUUGUCCUCCUAUUCAGUGCAACUACAUUCAAGUGCAUCUGCAAACCUACAAAAUCAGAUGCAUGUGAAUACAUGAGGAUGCCAACUACUGAAUGGUUCUUGUGGAAGUAAACAAGUUGAAGAUGCCUCCCUCAAAAAAAGUUGAAGAUGCCAACUCAUGUGGCAUUAUUGUGCAACUAUUAAGAAAAGUUGGAGAUGACAUCUCCUAUUUGGUUCUUGUGCAACUAAAAUAGUUAAGGAUGCCAACUCCGUGAUAUUAUUGUGGGACUAUUUAAAAAGCUGAGACUGCCAACUCCCAAAUGGUUAUGGUCAAACUACGAAAGUUGAGGAUGCCAACUCGUAUGAUACCGUUGCGCAACUAUUUGAAAAGUUGAGGAUACCAACUCUUAAUUAA